GAUACUAUAUAUUAUAAAUAAAUUAUAAAUAUAUUUCUUUAUUUCCCACUCCCCUUGCAACAUACCUUCUGUAUUAGUGAGGAGGACUUUAAAGAAGAGGAACCAAUGUUUAGCUAUUUGAGGGAUUGAAUACAACGUGACAUUUCCUCCCAUUUUCUCCAAGCUGAGCUGUUACCAAUGGAGUCAGUCUAGCUAGACUAAAGGAUUAUUGACAAUGUUUUUGAAAAUGUGUGAUGGUAACCAAGAUUACAAGGGAAACAAUUUGGGGAAAAGAUUUUGCUACAAAUUUCUCAGAGCCCCAUGGAAAUGAAGGACUCUGUAAGGAGCUGCCUAUCACUGAGCAUGAUUUGAAGAUUUCUGUUUCCUUUUUGCAAUGAUCCUGAGAGUAUCACCAAGUCAUUUGAUGGGAGCUGAGAAUUACCAAGUCCAGUUCGGUGUCUUCCUACUUACCAGUGUAAGGGCAGCUCUCAGGCUAAGGACAAAGCUUUUGUAUGUUCUAAAGAAGUCAAGGCUUUCUGAAAAUGAGGUGAAUUUGGUAGAAAAGAAAGAACACCAGAUUUGGAGACAGAGGACUGGGAUUCAAAUUCUGAAUCUGUUACUACUACAUGCUACUAAAAGCCAUUUAAGCUCUGGCAAUAGUACUAUUGGAUAGUCACAUUUUUUUUUUUGAUCAACCCCAUACCAUUGAUGUCUCCCAUUGUGAUAUGUUUUUCAUGUAUGUCACACACAUUACAUAUGUAAUUUUUCUAGUUAUUAGGCCUACAUUUUUUUUUUACUACAUUACGCUACUGAAGAUUUCUUGCAUAGUGAUCUUGAUAUUCAGUAUUUUGAUUUGUGUUUUCCAAAGGAAACUUUUAGGGCCCAAAUCAAAUUUUACUUUUUGACUAUAUUAAAAUCAUUUAAUUUUAGCCACAAGUGUUUAAUGCUGUGCUAACCAAAAUCAUACUUGUGAAAUGAAUUGUAUAUUUUUAAUGUACUAAAAGGUUUAAACAAAAUAAAACUAAUUUUAAAAAGAAAAAAC
rnacentral:lncRNA from 1 species